rnacentral:rRNA from 1 species
GACGAACGCUGGCGGCGUGCUUAACACAUGCAAGUCGAACGGAAAGGCCCUGCUUUUGUGGGGUGCUCGAGUGGCGAACGGGUGAGUAACACGUGAGUAACCUGCCCUUGACUUUAGGAUAACUUCAGGAAACUGGGGCUAAUACCGGAUAGGAGCUCCUGCUGCAUGGUGGGGGUUGGAAAGUUUCGGCGGUUGGGGAUGGACUCGCGGCUUAUCAGCUUGUUGGUGGGGUAGUGGCUUACCAAGGCUUUGACGGGUAGCCGGCCUGAGAGGGUGACCGGCCACAUUGGGACUGAGAUACGGCCCAGACUCCUACGGGAGGCAGCAGUGGGGAAUAUUGCACAAUGGGCGGAAGCCCGAUGCAGCAACGCCGCGUGCGGGAUGACGGCCUUCGGGUUGUAAACCGCUUUCGCCUGUGACGAAGCGUGAGUGACGGUAAUGGGUAAAGAAGCACCGGCUAACUACGUG